rnacentral:misc_RNA from 1 species
AAGAAGAGAAAGAAAAACAGCUUUCAAAGAGGGAAGAGAGGAAAAGUCAUUUGUGUUUUCUGCGUUGAAGAAGAGAGCUAAACAACUGGACGAGAAGACGCGGCGAAAAUUCAAACAUUGUACGGACGUUUCAUUCUUUCGUUGCUCUUAUUUAGAUCUGUGGACUCCUGGGAUUCCUUCUCUUUCUCCAUUUUCAAUGCGGUGACUCCCAGAAACCAUAGUGAUUACCUUCCUUUCAAAUGAUGAUGGACUUCUACUUCUAAAUUCUCGCUAAUGGAGUCUGAAACGGCGUCGUCGGUCGAUGAACAGGUCGUUGCUGCUGUUGCUUCAGUGGGUGCUGCAGCUGGAGCUGAUUCCAGAGGUAGGCAUCGGAUUCUUGCGGAGCUUAAGCGCGUUGAGCAAGAAAUCAAGUGCUUGGAGGAAGAGCUGGGGGAGCUUGAGAAUACAGAUAAUGUCUCAACAGUGUGUGAAGAAUUGCUGCUGAAUGUCAAUGUCAUACCUGAUCCAUUACUCUCAGAAACAAGUGGCUGUGUGAACCCAUUAUGGGAUCGAUGGUUUGAAGG